CAAUGAAGCACAGAAGCGUCAAAAUAGAGAAUACAAGCAGCAACAGAGACGAAGCGAUGACAGCUUUUUACGGCGUCUCACGAGUACACUUCAAUCGCGUCGAACUAACGAAAGAAUUCACGGUGAUAGACGGAAAGUGAGCCCAACUUCUACUUCCUCUGUUCCGUCCUGCCCCUGUACAGCGCUUCCAACAGCAAAAGCUUACACACCUCGUCCUUUUGAAUCGAGAUCAAGUCACGUGGCACUUCAAGGACGUGGAACUGAUCCAAGACGUCGAUUCUCCUUUCCUCUUCCGGAAUGGAGUUGAAACUUCAGAAAAGGGAUGUUCGUCCAAUAUGGUGAAAGUUCGGACAUUUUUUAAUUUUGAUUUGGCGUUGAUUUUGAAAAAAAUUUCAUCCAUUUUUUCCAACCAAUCGAACCUAAUUCAUCCCUAUAUAUACUCUCAUUGGUUUCACUGUUGGAAGGGGUUUUUUUUUGGGUUAUUUUUAGAAGAGUCGUGAGACAUAUUGGGAUAAGUAUAAAGAAUUAGCAAGCUUUGAGAGACAGAAAUACACUCAAAUAAAGGUUCUCGAAAUCGCGUAGAAAUCGUUAACCAGGUUUCCUCCAGUCUUUGAUCUCAUCGACCUCUGUUUCGCACAUUCGGGUUCAUCGGAUUUAUUCUAUGUGGUCGUGGAAGCUCUCUCACUCCAUUGGUCUUUCUCGUCUCAGUCUCUCUGCACCGAAAAAGGAUAAAUCCAACACACGAGCCACUAAGAACAAGAAUGGCUACUAUCCCCCCUUCCAUUCCUCAAAGUAUGGUGGAGAUUCAUGAACAACGACGAUAAAAUGAUCGUUCAGAAACACAUAGGUUACCUCCUGUCACUGCUAGAAAUGAAUGCUUCACUCGGUCUAAUUGGAACAAUGGUGAAAUUCUGAGAUAGCGAGCAUAUGGUCUUUCGAUUUGGGGAAGUGGAGUUGACGCCAAAAAUAGAAGAAAUCCUUAUGAGUUACUAAAGCAUCUCCAUGUGCAACAAAAGGAAAUGACAUCCAAAUAUAGAUCUCCUAAAUUCCACAAUAUGGGAUUUCACCAAAAUUAGAGAAAAACUGUGAUUGGUUAAAACAGAUUGGAUGGACAAGCUCCCUGACCCAAAUAUACCUUUCAGAAAACUAUACUACUGGUUUGGACGCGCAAGUUCUUAUGAUAAAUAUAAACACAAGUUCAUUUCAAAAGAAAAAUGGAAAGAGACGCGUCCUCUCGCAUUUGCAAUAUGUUUACUCGAAACGAUGGUUUGCCCUCAAGGGUCAAAAUACACUAUUUAUCCUAGUGUGUUUAUAGUUACUAAUGUCAUCUUUUACGGAGUUAACUAUAAAUCAUCAAUAAAGUACUACAUUUUAGCGCCUAUGAUUUUUGGCCGACAUCUAUAGGGCUUUAGUCAAAUGUCAGAGUGGAGAACGCUUGUUUCAUGGGUGUAAUCUGAUACUAUAGUGGUGGAUUAUGCGACAUUUGAUCAAAACUCAUAAUCCAAAAGAACCAGAUCCCCUAAAGCGGUCAGAUGAGCUACAUGGUCAUGAUUGGUGGUUGUACCACAAUCGCUGCAAUAAGACUGGAGGAGAAAGUUUUUGGUAUCCGAGGCUUCCAGGGUUGAUAGAAGAAGACGUACAAUGGUUAAUAGAAAAUUUGGUGGUAACUAAGAAUAUGGUGGUUUGAACAGAAAAAGUCACUUACUUGGUAUUUGCUGGGUUAAUAGGGACUAGACCAUAUGCUCCCCUUCGAGUCCUAACGCAACUAGGAGGGAAACAAGAGUUGCCCCAGAUCAAAGAUAUGAGGAAAUUUGCAACUGACCACGAGAAUAGACGAGUUGCAUUUGCUGAAGACAUACGUAGGAUGUGGAGAUCUCGAAGAGUGUUGGGUGAACCUGUACCAAACAGGUUUUGUCAAGAAUGUUCUAGGGAGUACAAAGAAUGAUUGAAAACGAGUCUCGCUAGAACUAUUGAGCCUGGUCCAAACAUCCCUCCCCUCACAUUAUUGCAAAUGUUAGAGCCAAACAUCAAGUUCGACUUCAAGAGAAGUUUGAUAAAAAUGUAUUAGAGCAUCAACGUCGUCACUCAGAAGACGCCAAUGGCAUAGCUCAACUGAAACAAGAGCUACGAAGAGACAGACAGUGCAUGACAGAGUUAGAUGAUAGCAUGGAACAACAGAUUCAAUCGAUAGAGGGGUUCAGACAUCAAGAAAGAGCUCGAUUUGCGAGAUAUCAUCUUUGGGCAAACAAAUAUGCUAUGUGGGAAGAGGUCAACAUCGUCAAAAGGAUCAGACUUGGCGAAGGAUCAGAGGACGCUUGAAUUUUAUUCCCCUGCGUAGGACUGCUUUAUUUCUACUUUGUUUUGUAAUUUAUUUUAAGAACUAUUUCCUUGUUUUAUGUUUAUCAGACAUUUUGAAUGUUAUUAAUGAAGUAGUUUUAGGAUAA